UCAUGGCCGCUGCCGCCGCCUCCAUCCAAAUCGCUGUCCUCUGCCUGACUCUCUUGUCGUCCCGGUUCUCCCCCAACCCUCCGUUGGGCCUCGGCUCCGCCCCUCAUUGUACGUUUCCUCUCGCCCCCUGGGUUGCUCCCCCGGGUAAGCUAUGUGUCUUAUGUCUUCGUCAACCCUAGCUCUUCAAUUCCACCUUUUUCUUGAUCUAUUGGAGACAUCCGACGUCCUUCCUUUUGGAUAGUAUAUGUCGAUUUUCGCAUCAAGAUUCCUUCGCUAGCGGUGGCUGGCGAUAACUCGAUCAUUCUUUCAAUUCCUUCGCUAAAUGGUGUGUUUUAUUCAACUGAUUAGCUUUGGAUCACGAAAAUAGUCUCUCUACUCACAAGAUCCGCAGAUGGCAAUUUCUUUGAAAUAACACAUAUUUUAAUCAAAUUAGGCAUUUCCAGUUGAUUUCAGCAUUUGAUUGAUUGGUAUUGUGCUUGGUGUCUUUAGGUGCUUUUCGUUGAUAUAUUAUUGACUGCGACCAUUUCUUUCGCUCCAAGAUUGUAUCUUUCUUGCACUAUACUUACUUUGUUCCUUUAUUUAAAUGAUUGUUUCUUUGAAGCAAGUGAUGUUCGAUUAAAUUAUGCAUUCUCAUUUUCUCCUCCCGUCUUCUAAUUUAAUUUUUAUGGAACCUUAAUUAAAUAGGAUUUGUAGGACUAUUGAAGUCAUUGACUGAAAUUUAUAGGAACAAAACUUAUAGGUCAUGCAUGACAGUAGAACUAAUUGUUUAUUAUUCUUCCAGCUUCAAUUUGAUGAGUUACUGAUAUGUUUUUUUAUACUUCUUCUUGUCUAAGUCCAUAAAAUGAUGUGAACAACUCAGUUCUUGUUUCAUACAAUAAUGUAUUGGCUAUACAUCUGGAGCAGUUGUAUGGAACAAGAAAUUCUAGAUUGAUAAGAAGAGCGAUUUUUAUCAAGGCCAGUUGUUCCAGCAACAUGGCACAGGCAAGGACAUUAUCAAGAAAGAAGAGGCUCUAGACUGGGUGAAAUAAGAACAAAACAAUUGAAGAAUGCUUCAUGAUGUUUAUCGUAAAAUGUCCUCUUUAUUUAUGUUUCACCUUUGUUUGAUGAUUUGUUUUGGACACAACACACUAUCACCUCUGAGUUUGUAUAUGUAAUUGGUGUCAAUUCUACAAACUUGAUUAGACGAAUGGUUUCCUUCGAUAAUGUGUUACGUGGAUUUUACGUCUUCAUGAUGUCAGUGAUGCAUUUAUUUUAGAUAUCUUAGCUGAGCU
rnacentral:lncRNA from 1 species